UACGAAGGGGGCUAGCGUUGUUCGGAAUUACUGGGCGUAAAGCGCACGUAGGCGGAUACUUAAGUCAGGGGUGAAAUCCCGGGGCUCAACCCCGGAACUGCCUUUGAUACUGGGUAUCUGGAGUAUGGAAGAGGUGAGUGGAACUGCGAGUGUAGAGGUGAAAUUCGUAGAUAUUCGCAAGAACACCAGUGGCGAAGGCGGCUCACUGGUCCGGUACUGACGCUGAGGUGCGAAAGCGUGGGGAGCAAACAGG
rnacentral:rRNA from 1 species